AUUUUCUUCUGUGUCAUCUACCUGAUGGGAGGCCAUUCGGUCCCAAACAGCAAGACCUUUGUGGUGUUCUAUCUGCUAGCAGGCCUGAUCCAGGUGACAAUCCUGCUGUACCUGGCAGAAGUGAUGGUUCGGCUGACGUGGCACCAUGCCCUGGAUCCAGACAACCACUGUAUCCCGUACCUCACAGGGCUGGGGGACCUCCUAGGAACUGGCCUCCUGGCACUCUGCUUUCUUAUCAACUGGUUAUUGAGGAGCAAGGCAGAGCUGGUUGGCGUCUCUGAACCGCUGUCAGGACCUCCCUAAUUAGCCCAGGCAGCCCCAGUUCAGUGGGGUACAGAAUGCAGCUUCUCCCUGGCCGAGUCCUCAGGAAGAUGAACACCUGCUCUGCAGGGGCCCUUGUCACUCAGCUGAGGAGGCUCGCACACACCUUGAAUCUGCAGCUGGAACCUGAGCCCGUGACGGAGGCCUGAAAUCACAAGCAUUGUCUGUGAGUGUGUGAGUGUGACUGCGUGCGCCUGGGCAUGAGUGUGUGCCCACAUGCUGGGUGUGGGAGUGGGUGUGCAUGUGUUUGGAGAACAGGGCACUCUGGCCUGAAGAUGCUGAAGGAAGAGGAAUGUCCAGUGCACAUUGGGGGAUGUGGGGGCGCUGUUUGUGCCCGUGCAGCGGGCAUUGUGGUGGGGCAGGAAGGAGAGCUGUUGUGUGUCCAAGCCUCAGGACUCUAAACCACGGCUUAACUGAUGUCUUCACUAGGUCCAGCUCCAUGGGCCACUCUGCUGCUGUGUCCUGCAAAUGUGCGCACCCCUUCCCAGGACGGGCGUUGCACAACCCUCAUCUGUUCCCAGCAUUUAAUCUUGUCACUGCUUUUUUUUUUUCUUUUUCUUUUAGCAAAAACCUCUGUUUAGAUUUUAAUGAUCAGAGAAGUAUGAAAUAAAACGUAGAUUAUAUUGUA